CCUACGGGUGGCAGCAGUGGGGAAUAUUGCACAAUGGGCGAAAGCCUGAUGCAGCAACGCCGCGUGAAGGAAGAAGGGUUUCGGCUCGUAAACUUCUAUCAACAGGGACGAAAGAAAUGACGGUACCUGAAUAAGAAGCCCCGGCUAACUACGUGCCAGCAGCCGCGGUAAUACGGAGGAUGCGAGCGUUAUCCGGAUUUAUUGGGUUUAAAGGGUGCGCAGGCGGAAGAUCAAGUCAGCGGUAAAAUUGAGAGGCUCAACCUCUUCGAGCCGUUGAAACUGGUUUUCUUGAGUGAGUGAGAAGUAUGCGGAAUGCGUGGUGUAGCGGUGAAAUGCAUAGAUAUCACGCAGAACUCCGAUUGCGAAGGCAGCAUACCGGCGCUCAACUGACGCUCAUGCACGAAAGUGUGGGUAUCGAACAGGAUUAGAUACCCGGGUAGUC
rnacentral:rRNA from 1 species